rnacentral:misc_RNA from 1 species
AACGCACCUUGCACCCUUUGGUAUUCCGAAGGGUACGCCCGUUUGAGUGUCAUUGUAAUCUCACCCCCGAAAAUUUUUUUGGGAGUGGACUUGGACGUUGCCGUGUCACGGCUCGUCUCGAACGUCUCAGUGUGACCUGUUUGCAGGCGUCUACAGUGUGAUAGGUAUCUUCACUGUGUUGGUCUCUUCGGAGGCGCGCUCUCGGACGUGGGCUUCUACGCUGCCAACCGUCUUCGGACAAUCUCUGACGAUUUGACCUCAAAUCGGGUGGGACUACCCGCUGAACUUAA